CCUACGGGAGGCAGCAGUAGGGAAUCUUCGGCAAUGGACGAAAGUCUGACCGAGCAACGCCGCGUGAGUGAGGAAGGUUUUCGGAUCGUAAAACUCUGUUGGUAGAGAAGAACGUUGGUGAGAGUGGAAAGCUCAUCAAGUGACGGUAACUACCCAGAAAGGGACGGCUAACUACGUGCCAGCAGCCGCGGUAAU
rnacentral:rRNA from 1 species